CUCCAAGAUCCUAGCCAUGGAGCUACUGAUGCCUGCUUCCUUUUGCGAAUACAAAGAUGAGUAACAGUCUGAAGUGGUCCAAAGACUCUACCGCCUCACUGGAGCUGAAAGACUCAUCUGUUUGUGAUGCCCAGGCUUCCCUGCGGAGUCCUCACCAUAGUGUUAAAUCACCACUCCUUUGGUAUCGUGGUUGUUUGCAUAACAGGGACAACAAGAACGAGAAGUGGAGUAAGGGAUCUCUAUAGGAGAAUAGCGGAGCUCGGGCUUUCCAGUUAUGCAGUUGGUGCCAAUUCCUCACAAUCAACAACCAGGAAAUGGACAUCAUUAAUAGAUUAAUCGCAUGUGCUGGAAAACAGAAAGCCAGCUGACUAUGCCCCUGUGAGAAGCAUAGGCAGUGUUUGGCUCGCAGUGGUUUCACUGAGGAAGAGGCAGGAAGUGUAGCUUGGGAGAGAUGCCCAGUAUUAUGGAUUAAUUAACAGUCUGUAUUCCUUCUCCCUAUGGACUUAAUGGACCUAUACUGUCUUCUGCCUAUGGCAGGACUUAAGUUGGUGAGAAGAGAAGGCUUGGGGGAGACCUCAUUGCAGCCUUCCAGUACUUGAAGGGAGCAUAUAAACAGGAAGGGGAACUGUGGGACAAAGAAAGACAUUAUGAACAAAAGACCUGGCAAAUGAGUAAACAAGCUUGGUAGCUACUUGUGCCACAUGUAAACAUGCACGAGGCUCCUGGUUGGUAAAUGUGACCAGGGAGUUGUUGCGCAAGUAUAAAAGGCUGUAAGCACAUACAAUAAAGGUCUUCGUUCUGCACCAGCAAUGGAGUCCAUGACUCUCCUGUCACAAAUGAUGCCCAAACAAUGACCCUAUAUCAGGGUCAACCUCAGGAGAUAAUCAGCUAUCAAGCUGACCGGUGGCAAGGAAUUAGCGCUGCUGAAAGGAAGUUGGACCCAAAAGUACUCAGUACAUGAUGUGGAUGGACUUUUGGAGAGAAUCUGCACAACAAAAGGCACUGGAGUGGAAGCUAUUGGAGCUCAGCAACUUGGAGCAGAGCAUGCAGACCCUAAGCCUAUUGCUCAUUCACCACUGCAAGAGAAGAAGGAUCAAACCUCCAGGUUUGGUGACGGUCAGUGCGUGGGAGCUGGAGCUGCAGAAAGCUGCUGCUGAGACAUAUGCUGGUGUUUGGACUCUCACUCAUUCCAGCUGUUGGCAUUGUUGCAAUGUAUUUUUCUGAACCUUUUAGCUGUUGUAGCAGUUGUUCAGUGCUCCAGAAAAUUCUAAGAUAGGUCUAACAACAUUGAAAGUAUGUUUGAAUGUUGUGCUAUGUCUGCAUUCUAAAUUAGAAAACAGUAUUUGCUAUAAAAUGAUGUGCAUUCAUGUGCAGUAGAUUGGCAAUGUAGGAAGUUUUCCCAUAAUUGGUUGUAUAAUCCAACUUGACUGGCUGAAUAUCUUCUGGUAUUUAAGAAUGUAAUGUGUAUAUUUACAACUGUAUGUCUUACCUGCACCUGCCUGGCUUUCAUAAUUCUGGUUCUGAAUAUGUAAUUUCAGUGAUUUAAAUAUAUAUAUAUGUAGUUCCCUAUUAAAAACUAAAAAUAAAGGCGGCAUUUAUGACCCCUGAG
ensembl:lncRNA